GCCCUGCAUGGUUCAGCAUCUGCAGUAGCAUUCCAAUUCGAGAAGCACCCACUUUCAGCCGACAACAUCCUUAUUCGUCAAAAUCGACAUCAGGCUUGCUCCGAAAGUUGGAUCUGCCUACUAAUCUGAGAUAACAAGACUUUGUUCACUCUACAGUUUCGGAUCUGAACAACUUGGUGCAUUAUACACAAGGUCCACUGUAGACAGUUGAAUCAUGGAACUCGAACAAAACAUAGAGCAUACAUUGCUUCGUCACAUAAGACUGUAUCAGAUUACUUUCAAAAUCAGAGUUUGUGCAUCCAGACUGUGGAGACCGAAAAAGUAUAACAGUGACAUAUACGAUGGCCUCCAUUAUCUGUUAGUCGACGAAGAGGCAAGGCACAUGCUAUUCACGGUUUAAUAUCGGAAUCUGCUUAUCCUUACAUGUCCAACAAAAUGGAAGAAGGACAGGUGUAUGGCAUUACCAAUUUCUAUAACCGAAAACCUGUAUCAAAAUAUAAAGUUGCUGGUCACGUGCUAGAGAGUUUGAUAUGGAAAGAGUUAAACAGUUAUCCCCACCAGUGCUCGCUGUAUUCACGGGUUUAAGGUUGACCAAAUUCCAAGAACGGGUAACAGCAGCAACAACAGGCCAUACAUGCAUCAUCAUCAAUCCAGAUAUUCCAAUAGCAAAUGAAUACAAAGCUGAGUUCUCGAAAGCAGGCGACAAAGUGAAAGUACUUCCUGUACCUUUCAAACGGCCAACAGCAGAAGAGAUGAAAGACAAAACAACAAAGUCGGUCUUUUAAUUAAACACAUGGAUCCAGAUAUAUACAUGAAUAAAACAGUGUAUUGCACUGCUUCGAUCCUCCGGUUUACAGUCCAUAAUGGUUGGUGGUAUAGAGGCUGUUCAAAGUGUUUUAAACAACUGAAGCAAAGAGAGGAAAGUGGUGAAUUAAUUUGUCCUAAACAUGAUGUGCAAAUAGCUGUGCCAUGUUACAAAGUUUAUGUCACCAUUUGAGAUGAUAAUAAUCAAGCAACGCUCAUUCUGAUGGGGAGACAGGCAGAGCAGCUGUUUGGCAUCAAUUGCCAAGAUUUGGUGAACAAAAGACUGUAUCCAACAGAGCAGACACUACCAGAAGAGAUUAAGAAGACAACUGAUGAAACCUAUCUCUUUGAAAUCACAGUCAAUCAAUAUAGCGAGCUGAUGGUCAGAAACAUUUUCCCAAGUAAGCAAUCCUUUGCAUCAAUGGUGGAACAAACCCCAACCACUAUAACACUGGAGCGGCUUCCAACUGAAGGAAAAAGAAACAUUGAAGCAAGUGGAAAAGCUUUGUGCAUCGUAGAGCCUGAGAAAAAAGCCAAGAAUGAGAAGGAGACCAAGCGUGGAGCAAUGAUAUCGGCAUCAUCAGUGUCAUCAUCAACAAGCAAAGAACAACUUCAGAAAGAAAAGGCAGACUGAAUCUAAAUUGCUCCUCUGUACAGCUGUAACUUAUUUUAUCUAAUUAUACCUGCGCUGACUCCAUUUUGUGUACAGCUAUAGUCAGCGAAACAACUGGAUCUUUUGGGAACUGGAGGUAUUAAUUUUUUGCUCAAACUCCAGUCCAACUUUUUGAUAAUUAGCUCCAGUUGUUUCAGCAGUGAUAACACAGAUCUAAUGAUCUUUGAACAAUGGAAGCAGUUAAUUUUUUGGACAACCAGUGUCAGCUACUCGGGCUCGGUUGUACUAGCUUCCUUUGAAUCAAAUACUCUAUCAGUACUGUAUUGACUUAACUAUAUGUAGUAAUUUGUGAGUAAUGUUUAAAUUCCAUUUCUUCAUAAA